rnacentral:rRNA from 1 species
GAUGAACGCUGGCGGCGUGCCUAAUACAUGCAAGUGAAACGGCUAUGAUAGCAAUAUUGUAGCAGUCGCGAACGGGUGAGUAAUACAUAGGUAACCUGCCUUUAUGUGGGGGGAUAACCGGGGGAACUCUGACUAAUACCGCAUAAAAGACUCUAGGCAUCUAGAGAGAAUAAAAGUUGGAAUACAACGCAUAAAGAUGGACUUAUGGCGCAUUAGCUAGUUGGUGGGGUAGUGGCCCACCAAGGUGACGAUGCGUAGCCGGCCUGAGAGGGUGAACGGCCACAUUGGGACUGAGACACGGCCCAAACUCCUACGGGAGGCAGCAGUAGGGAAUUUUCGGCAAUGGGGGAAACCCUGACCGAGCAAUGCCGCGUGAACGAUGAAGGUCUUCGGAUUGUAAAGUUCUGUGAUUGGGGAAGAAUGGUAUUCUUAGGGAAUGAGGAGUACAUGACGGUACCCGAUUAGAAAGCCCCGGCUAACUAUGUGCCAGCAGCCG